UACGGAGGAUGCGAGCGUUAUCCGGAUUUAUUGGGUUUAAAGGGUGCGUAGGCGGACUGUCAAGUCAGCGGUAAAACUGAGAGGCUCAACCUCUUCCCGCCGUUGAAACUGGUGGUCUUGAGUGGAUGAGAAGUACGCGGAAUGCGUGGUGUAGCGGUGAAAUGCAUAGAUAUCACGCAGAACUCCGAUUGCGAAGGCAGCGUACCGGCAUCCAACUGACGCUGAGGCACGAAAGCGUGGGGAUCAAACAGG
rnacentral:rRNA from 1 species